GAUUAGCUAGUUGGUGAGGUAAAGGCUCACCAAGGCGACGAUCAGUAGCUGGUCUGAGAGGACGACCAGCCACACUGGAACUGAGACACGGUCCAGACUCCUACGGGAGGCAGCAGUGGGGAAUUUUGGACAAUGGGCGCAAGCCUGAUCCAGCAAUGCCGCGUGAGUGAAGAAGGCCUUCGGGUUGUAAAGCUCUUUUGUCAGGGAAGAAACGGCUGUGGCUAAUAUCCACGGCUAAUGACGGUACCUGAAGAAUAAGCACCGGCUAACUACGUGCCAGCAGCCGCGGUAAUACGUAGGGUGCAAGCGUUAAUCGGAAUUACUGGGCGUAAAGCGUGCGCAGGCGGUUUUGUAAGUCUGACGUGAAAGCCCCGGGCUCAACCUGGGAAUUGCGUUGGAGACUGCAAGGCUUGAAUCUGGCAGAGGGGGGUAGAAUUCCACGUGUAGCAGUGAAAUGCGUAGAGAUGUGGAGGAACACCGAUGGCGAAGGCAGCCCCCUGGGUCAAGAUUGACGCUCAUGCACGAAAGCGUGGGGAGCAAACAGGAUUAGAUACCCUGGUAGUCCACGCCCUAAACGAUGUCUACUAGUUGUCGGGUCUUAAUUGACUUGGUAACGCAGCCUAACGCGUGAAGUAGACCGCCUGGGGAGUACGGUCGCAAGAUUAAAACUCAAAGGAAUUGACGGGGACCCGCACAAGCGGUGGAUGAUGUGGAUUAAUUCGAUGCAACGCGAAAAACCUUACCUACCCUUGACAUGUCAGGAACCUUCGAGAGAUUGAGGGGUGCUCGAAAGAGAGCCUGAACACAGGUGCUGCAUGGCUGUCGUCAGCUCGUGUCGUGAGAUGUUGGGUUAAGUCCCGCAACGAGCGCAACCCUUGUCAUUAGUUGCUACAUUUAGUUGGGCACUCUAAUGAGACUGCCGGUGACAAACCGGAGGAAGGUGGGGAUGACGUCAAGUCCUCAUGGCCCUUAUGGGUAGGGCUUCACACGUCAUACAAUGGUGCAUACAGAGGGCCGCCAACCCGCGAGGGGGAGCUAAUCCCAGAAAGUGUAUCGUAGUCCGGAUCGCAGUCUGCAACUCGACUGCGUGAAGUUGGAAUCGCUAGUAAUCGCGGAUCAGCAUGCCGCGUGAAUACGUUCCCGGGUCUUGUACAACACCGCCGUCACACCAUGG
rnacentral:rRNA from 1 species